GGUUUUUAGAUUUUACUUUUAAAUCGGGCCUGCCCAUUGAUUAAUAAUAUUAAAAGGCUGCGGUAUUUUAACUGUACGAAGGUAGCAUAAUCAUUUGUCUUUUAAUUGAAGACUAGAAUGAAUGGUUUGAUGAAAAAUAAACUUUCUUAUUUUAAUAAUUUUGAAUUUAAUUUUUUAGUUAAAAAGCUAAAAUUUUUUUAUAGGACGAGAAGACCCUAUAGAAGUUAACUUUCUUUAUAAAUUUUUAUUUUUUGUUAAUAAAAUAAUUAUUUAGAAAAGAAAUUUUUGUUGGGGCGACAUUAAAAUUUUUUAAACUUUUAAUUUUUUUUUCAUUAAUUUAUGUUUUUUUGAUCCAAAAUUUUUGAUUAAAAGAUCAACUUACCUUAGGGAUAACAGCGUAAUCUUUUCGGAGAGUUCAUAUCGAUGAAAAGGUUUGCGA
rnacentral:rRNA from 1 species